UUUUGAAUGAUAUGAGAUUUCACUUUGCUGAAGCCAAUUCCAGCACCGAAAACUCUCCCAAAAGUCACUUCUUCAUUUGAGCUUUCCAUUCUCCAUCUAGCUUCCUUCCAAUGGAAGGCCGUCUGAGCUAGGCUUCACCACCACCAUAGGCUUCACCACCACCACAACUCACUUCCACCAUCUAAAUCAUUUUUGCACUCUGUCCACGGCUGCCAAAACCCAAGCCACUUCCUACGCUGUCUCUGGUUCACACGUUCAUAACUUCCGCUACUUCUCAAAUCAUCAUUUCUGGCUGGAGCAUCCUUAUCAACUUCUCUUUUCACUUAAAUUUUUUGAAACGUAUCUUCCCUCCCAUGUUCUGUAAUUCCCACCUUUCCGAAAAAUUUUCCAUACCCAACUUACAUUUUUAUUUUAUUUUUCACACAUUUUGAACUUUUCCCCCUUUCUUCUUCACGCAAGCCUUUUCCUCUUUUCUCUUAAACCCUAAAAUAAACAUCUAAGUCACAAUCGUGCAGCAUAAGAGUGAGGUUACCACAAUGAGGAGGAGGCAGCGUUCGGGAAGGCUCCAAUUCCCAAUAACCUACGGCUGUUGUUAGAAAUCGCGAGAGAGUCACCAUUGAUGCUGGAGGCCAUCGAAGCUGUGGCGCACGCAGCGUUCCCUGCCGACGUCGACGACGCCUAUGACUGGCUUGACGAUGAUGUUCUAGAGUGGUUUGAUGCAUCCAUGGACGAGUUCUGGAGGCAUUGGGGGAGGCAAAAAAUGGGCAUUCGACGAAGCACUCAGAUGGAGGAGGAUGAGUUUCAACUGGUUUCUGAAACGAGUCUGACGACACCUGGACUCGUUAUGGCGACUAAGGAUAAGAAGACGAUGAGACCCAAGCCCAAGGUUUCGUUUCAUAUUCCAACGAUAAGGACGAGGACCGCGAUCAACCUUCUGCCACAGCGGAGAAGGCCCAGGCACUGCAGACCCUAGCAGCGGGUCCUCUCUCCUCAUCGAUGACAAAGGUCGCCGCNUGAAAUGUUUUGAAAUAGGGAUUUACUCUGUUUAGAAAUUUACAUCCAAAACACAGAAGAAAGGAACUCGAUUAUUGCAUUUCUAAAGCAAUCCAUUACAUUGAAAAAGCACAAAAUCCUGAUGGGAGCACAAAAAACUAUAAAAGGACACACCUAUGCCACCACUUAUAAAGAGGGAUGCUGCUCUUUGGGGUAUGGUGAUCUUUGUUUAAAAAUAUUGCAUGAUUUCCAUGUUACCUUCGGCAAGCUGCCACUUCAGCGAAUUAUGACUGUUCUUGCUUACAGAACUGAACUUGUUAUUACCCUUUGGAAUUUUAUAAAGAAGUGUCAUGAGAACCAAAAAUGAUCAUCACUCACCUCAAAUGAUGCACCUGACUGGUUGUUACCUCUGGCUGUAUUUUGUCUUGUCUACAAGUAAAACUUUUUCUCUCUACUCACCAUGAACGUUUUUUUUUUCUAACCUCUUUUAAUUCUGAAUAUAUUUGUUGGAAAUGGGUCUUAUGAUUCGUGACUAUUAUUUGAAGUCAAAGGAGGUUACAUGAUUACAAAUUUGUUAGUUUUGUAUUUAUUGCCUUUGUUGUACUUAUAUGUAUUUAACUCUUGAAUCAAUAUAAAAUAUACACCUUAUGAGUUCUGCGCAAUUCCCUCAACAUUAUUCUGUGAUCUAAAUNAUUAUACUGUAACCUAUUUUAUCCUAUCUCAGGCACAUGCAUCAAGAAUCAAGGUUGCGUAGUUUUACUUGCUCCAUUCAUAAUAGAAAUGAUAUUAAUAUUUUUGUCUCUUAAUUAAACUAUUUUUGUCUCUUAAUAGUUUUACAUCUCCGAUUAAACAAUAUGAAUACUUCAUUAGAAAAAUAAAAAUUCAACUCACGAAAAAGUUUAAUUUGCAUCACUCACUGGUGAGAGAUAUUUACUCAAUGAAGAAAUGCUUUACCUUUUGAAUACUAUCAAAAUAUUAUGUGNCGUUUAUUAAGAUAUUUUCUAUUGUUUUGUUGCUAUGAUGGUUUAUAUGAACAUGGUUUCUUUUAGUAAGUCUGUUUUAUAUGUGUAAAUAAAUGUUAUCAUAGUAAAAUAUAAUGAUUGGUGUGACUUUCUAUUGAGAUAUAAGGUUGCAUAUAUGGAGAAUCUGAUUUACAUUGGUUAUCCUGGUGAUCCAUCAUCUGNUAUCCGUGUGACAAGGAGGCGGCGUUUGGAUCNCAAGAAGCAACANUCAAACAGAANAGUGCUUUGUUUUUGGGCCUAGGAAGGGUNGGAAAUCUGCAUUAUUGAAUUCUUUUAUUGGAAGGCCANAUUCUGAAGGUUACAAUCCAACCAAUGAAGAUUGUUAUGUUGUAAGUAGUUGAUGUUUCUAUGGAAAACAAAAAAAUAUCUUGUGCUGAGAGAGAUACUAGAAGAUGGAGUUAGGAAGCUCCUGUCCAAUAAGGAGUCUUUGGCAUCAUUGUGUUCUUGAUAUGCAAAUGGGCAUGGAAUAAUCUUUUUGUGUUCAAGUAGUGGUUCAGAUUAAAACAUACUGUGGAUAAGAACUCGAUUGAGGUUGCUCGUGAUGGAGGAAAGAUUGUUCUGAAGGGUCUGUACUCUAGAUUGUCUGGAAAUCUUGUUGGUGUCUUGUCAGCGUCUGCAAUUUUUAUUGGAGUGUAUGAACCCACAAAGCAGCAAUUGCUACAGUCAUUGCCUGAGAAUCUCUGUUGUGGCUCAUUUUGUAAGUUGGCUAUCUUUUCUAAAAGAAGCAAUCUCUUCAAAGUAACUAUGCAGUGACUUUGUUUGCCAUGUGCCACCAACUUCCAUCUUAGAUAUCUAUGUGAUUAUGCUCUUCUCCUGCAUACAAUUUUAGAAUUAUGAUGUUAAUUUUUAUGACUGUAUGCCAAUUUUCUGGUUUCAUAGCAUUGCUUGGCAAGUUAAAUCCUAGGAUACAUAAACCAGGAGUGACAGCAAGAUGAGUAGAUAACAAAAAACAUGAGAUUUACCUUUUGAUGCCAUAGAAUUAUGCAUUUAUGAGCAGCUCCGUAUUGGGUAUAAAUUAGCGGUAAGCUUGCUAUUUGAAGUGUCAAU